AACGAACGCUGGCGGCAUGCCUAACACAUGCAAGUCGAACGAGACCUUCGGGUCUAGUGGCGCACGGGUGCGUCACGCGUGGGAACCUGCCCUUAGGUUCGGAAUAACUCUCCGACAGGGGUGCUAAUACCGGAUAAUGUCUUCGGACCAAAGAUUUAUCGCCUUUGGAUGGGCCCGCGUUGGAUUAGCUAGUUGGUAGGGUAAAAGCCUACCAAGGCGACGAUCCAUAGCUGGUCUGAGAGGAUGGUCAGCCACACUGGGACGGAGACGCGGCCCAGACUCCUACGGGAGGCAGCAGUGGGGAAUAUUGGACAAUGGGCGAAAGCCUGAUCCAGCAAUGCCGCGUGAGUGAUGAAGGCCGUAGGGUUGUAAAGCUCUUUUACCCGGGAUGAUAAUGACAGUACCGGGAGAAUAAGCUCCGGCUAACUCCGUG
rnacentral:rRNA from 1 species